CUUCUCUUACCAUGAACUACAGGAUGAGCUGCUGAGGAUGAAACGCUGGUCUUCUGUGCUCUUGCAGAUUUUUAAGUGGAAAGACGUGAGCUGUCCUGGCUGAGAUUUUGAGCUGAUCUUCCACUACAGCUCCCUCCAGCAAAUUGUACAGCUUUAUGACCAGAAGAGUUAAUCCUGAACUACUCCCACAUCUGUGACGGCAGAAGUAAACAUUUUUGGAACUCCUGAGACUAACAAGGUGCUCCUGAACAGGUAAGAAAAGGGAGACAAACGGAUUCAGUGACUUGCCAAUGGUGAAGCUGACAACUGUUGAAAGAGCUUGAAAGAAGAGCUUAUUUCUCAUAACUUCUGAGUCCUUUCCACAUACAAAUGCUAUACUGUGUAUCAGGACAUGGCUCCACUCUUGUUAAAACUGUGGAUAACGACCCACUAACCACCCUAAUCCAGGUCUAAUGUGAACUCACGGUUGUAUUUCUGUUGAAUUACCCAGAGCAACAAUGUUAAUGCCAUCUGGGUGAGGACUGAUUACACCUGAUCAGGAUAAAAAAAAAAAAAAAAGUCUCUGGGGUCAAAACUACUUCUUCAAAGUUCUUUUGAACACACUUGAACUGGCAGAAAGAUUUUUGCAGCACUUCAACACCUUUCAUCAGAUGGCUGUGAUGCAUUUGAGCUGGCAGCAGGAGCUGUCCCAAUGGAAUUAGCACCCCAUGGAGUCACUGCUGGGUGUGACACCCCUGGAAGCAAAGAAGCAAUCAAAUGCUAAGCCUUUCUGAUGGUGUUUUCCAUCUGUUUUCCUGCCAGCGUGCAACAUGCAACUCGCCACCAUUUCUGGCGAAGCAAAACUGUGUCAUCGCCUCUAUGUGUGUGUGUCCGUCCCUCGCAUUAACAUCUUUCAGUCUACUGGCAGCUUCAACCACAUUUAAUACAAGGGUAUAUGUCUCGAUACAAAAUUCUGCUCCUGCAUGCCCAGUAUAAAUAAGUUACCAGGGAGAGAGGAGAAAUGAGUUUGACUGUGCACAGGUCCAUCCCUGUGACUUCUGAUCCUGACGGCUGGGUCGCCCAGCUGAGCUGGGCAGAGAGCACGUGGCUGGCAACGUACUCUUCAGGCAAAGUGUACCGUGAGAUUUGUUAAGAUUUUAUCUACACAAGUCAGACAAUCAAGAAGCAAAAAUCCUCAACAGAAAGGACUUCAGUAAUUACACUGCAGAUGGAACCUGUUGGGGAAGAAGUGAGAUAAUGAAUGCAAUCAACAGUGGGUGUUGGGUCCAUGCUUGAUUUUUAUAAAAAUCUCUCUGGCUUUCCACAGAUCUUAGGUUUUAACCUAUAACAUGCCCCACAGAUGUUUAGAUAGGAAGGUGCUUAAAAGUGUCCAGCUAUACUUAAUUGUAAGCCAAACUAGCUAACCUAUUUACUCAGGAAAAUAAGUGCUCAGGAACCUCGUUACUGAUGAAGAUCAUGUUUUGUCAACUGAAUGUGUGUUUCUUCUCUAAGCAUAAAGCACUGAAUUUUUUUUGUGUAGAACAAAGACACUCAAACUCUAUUUUGAGGGGAAAAAACCUGCAAGUUGAGAGAGAUAUUUUGGGUUACCUCCUUCACACAGCACACAUGAUUCUAUUUUAGGAUUUCUCCAGGAAUAACGUGGUACUGGAGACACCAAUCCUUCUCUCACUUUCCAGCUCCUAAGCACAAGGAAGCGGACAGAGUAACAUGAAGUGGACGCAGCCCAUAUCCCUAAUACCUACUUACCCUGUAUCUCAGCAGCAACACAUAUAGCAGAAGCUGCCUGACUUUUGCACAAGGGAGAAAGAGUACCAGAUCAGACUCUACGCUAACACUCCUUCAGUCUUGAGCUGGGGCCCUGCAAAUUCUCCAUGACUUUAAGAGUAUAGCUUUCCUUCUUGCUAGUUGGUGUUAGUCUGGAAUCUCAGUUCAGUAUACAAUAUACAAGGUCCAGAGCCCCAAAUGCUGCUGGUAUUUCAAUGAGGAGGGCUACUGCGGCUGGGAAGGAAGGAAGGAAGGGAGAAAGGAUGGAAAGAAGGAAGAGAGAAAGGAGGGGAGGGACAGAGGAAGGGUGGGAGGAAGACUGGUUUA